GUUGAACAUCCGGCAAAAGCUUAUUUUAACAACAUACUUCGAGAAUUUGGUUAACUUGUUUAUUUGAACAGCAGUUUGCUCCGAUAAAUAAGUUAACUGCGUUGCACUUGUCCAGACAAGCAACAAGAAGUGAACAUCAGCCAAAUAAUGAAGUUUGGAAUAAUUUCAUCGUUUUUGACAGUGGCUUACUUAUGCACAGGGCCAAAUGGUA